CUACGGAGGAUGCAAGCGUUAUCCGGAUUUAUUGGGUUUAAAGGGUGCGCAGGCGGACUGUUAAGUCAGCGGUGAAAUCUCAUGGCUCAACCAUGGAACUGCCGUUGAUACUGGCAGACUAGAGUACGGACGGCGCCGGCGGAAUGUGUCAUGUAGCGGUGAAAUGCUUAGAUAUGCCACAGAACACCGAUCGCGAAGGCAGCUGGCGAGGCCGGGACUGACGCUCAGGCACGAAAGCGUGGGGACCAAACAGGAUUAGAUACCCUGGUAGUCCACGCAGUAAACGAUGAAGACUUGUUGUCGGCGAUAGAAUGUCGGUGACAAAGCGAAAGCGAUAAGUCUUCCACCUGGGGAGUACGAUCGCAAGGUUGAAACUUAAAGGAAUUGACGGGG
rnacentral:rRNA from 1 species